AGUACUCAUUCACAGUUCCACCAAGACCGUCAGUAGUUUCAAAGCGUUAUAUGACAAGGAGUGCAGGGAAGACGGGACACCACGAGCGUAGCUCUCAUCCUGUAACUACACCUAGAUGAUGUAGGUCCUCGAGCAGAGGCUUUGCCGCCAGUGUGGGGGAUCAAGCGAGAGUCGGCUAGCGUGGGCGUAGCGACGUCGUCACCACCAGCAGCUGCCUCCGUCUUCCCGAACGCCCACUUGUGACUGUAAUUUAAACCAGUAGGGUCCUCCUGGCCCGGCCGCCCUCGCCACCACCACCAACACCUCCGGAGAGGGCGGUGACGAAGGCGAGGAUUAAGACCACAGACGCUGUCACGACAAGUCUGAUUCCUGGAGCCAAGAUGAGCACACGCUGCUGAUGUGACUGUUUGGAUGCAUGCAGAGACUGGUUUAAUGUCUACCCCCAGAUCCUUCUCUCUCAUUCCCUGGUAGGUUCAUCUCAGUAUGUUUUGUUCCUCGUCUUCAUGACCUUACACUUACUUGGAUUAAAGUCUAAUAACCGCUUGUCCGAUCAUGCCUGAAACUUAUUUGUGUUUUUAAAGCCUCCGGCAGCCCUCGAUAGUCCCGAUUGUCCUCAACAACAUAUUAACACAAAAGUGUAGGUCACCAACUGUCCAUUAUGCACACUAGGAAUAGCACACAUCCUUUCGCACCCAAUUUAAUACUCUGCCCCGUACGGCCACCUUCAUUAUCUUGUACUGUACGUACAUGGGCCUCUUAUAUGGAACAUUCUCUAAUGAUUUCGGGCCCCUGGUAGUAUGCAGUCUCUUCACCUUCCUCGUCUAGCAACUGUCACUCUCGUGUUGAACUCUAGUAAGUUUGUUAGGCGUGAGUUUGCUUCUCUGAACCCUUGUUGAUGUUUUGAUGUGAAGUUAUUUCUCAGUGUUCCAUUAUUCACCCCAUGUUAUAACAUUAAUACUUUUAUUUACAAGAAGGGUACAAUGGGUUUGUGAGAUUACAUAAGAUUGUUAUUUUCACAUUCUUGCACAACCUUGUUAAGGACACCGAUAGUUAGUCCAGUGGUUCCUGUCUUUAUCUUUAUUUUCCAGCGCGCCUUUGUGCGUGCGCGCGUGUGCUUAUCUAUCGAUGACUACAGGGAAGUGGAGUCCAGUUCUUAAUGCCGAUGCGUUGUAAUUCAAGAAUUAUGAUGCUCGAAUGCUUUGUCGAAUCUGGCCUUAUAAUUGUAGACAGAGGUGGCUUCCACAACUUCUUUCAGUAAAUUCCCCUUGUUUACCGCCCGUACAGCAGUACUGGUAUUUCCUUACAU